UGGGGAAUAUUGCACAAUGGGCGAAAGCCUGAUGCAGCGACGCCGCGUGAGUGAAGAAGUAUUUCGGUAUGUAAAGCUCUAUCAGCAGGGAAGAUAAUGACGGUACCUGACUAAGAAGCACCGGCUAAAUACGUGCCAGCAGCCGCGGUAAUACGUAUGGUGCAAGCGUUAUCCGGAUUUACUGGGUGUAAAGGGAGCGUAGGCGGCAAGAUAAGUCUGAAGUGAAAGCCCGGGGCUCAACCGCGGGAUUGCUUUGGAAACUGUAGUGCUAGAGUGUCGGAGGGGUAAGUGGAAUUCCUAGUGUAGCGGUGAAAUGCGUAGAUAUUAGGAGGAACACCAGUGGCGAAGGCGGCUUACUGGACGAUUACUGACGCUGAGGCUCGAAAG
rnacentral:rRNA from 1 species